GGAGGUGAAGGCAAGAGAUGGGAACAGCAGUGAGGGUGAAUACCUAUCUGCCGCCCAAGACUGAAGUCUCCAGGAAGGGGACUUAAGACCUACUGGGUCUUCAGAGCUCAGAGGAGCUCAGAGAGAAGAAAAAAAAAUGGUCCCGCAUUAAUUGGCUGCCGUGAGGGGUCAAUUGAGCUGGCAGGGCACUAAUUACUGAAAGAAAAAAUAAACCCCAACAGAGCACUGGUUUGCGGCUUUGGCGAACCGGUGUAUAUACUUUGAAGUCAAGGAGGAGAGAGUCAGCACCAGAGACUCCUGCAGCAAGGGGAAGAUUGCUGAACGGAUGACAGUUCUCCACCAGAUAUCACCAGAGAAGCUGCUGAAAGACUUAAGAGACUCUCCUAAUACAGAACCAUAUUUUGGUUUCAUGUCCUGUGACCUGGCUAUGAAGAAGAUCUUUAUGUUUUCCAGGCCUUUAAUUAUUUUUGUUGGUCUCUGCUG